rnacentral:lncRNA from 1 species
AGAACUCCCACAGGAACAUACCGAGGAAGCCAAGAGAGUCCACAGACCCUUUGAAGAAAGUGGAUUGCUCCUGCAGGCUCCAGGAGACAACUGAAAAACUGUUAAGUCCAACCCUGCUGGACCUGGUAUACAUUUUGAGUAGCAAGACAAUAUGUACACUCAACACAGCUCUCUGCUGCUGCUACUAGAGAAUACCUUUCUCUGUGCUACCUGUGGUCUUGAGGUAUGUGUCCCAGCUCACAUGGUGGGUGGCAGAAUGUAUUUCCUUAUGCUUGCGGAACUCCUGACGGCUUGCUUCUUCAAAGCUUACAGUGAAGAGACAGAUUCUCUGCUGCUUUGAGUGUAUCUUCAGAGAAGGCCUAGACCGCUUUUAAAAACAUACCCCUGAUUAAAUCAGACCCACCCAGGUAAGCGCCUAUUAGAUUAACUAAAACAAGUGUUCUCUCCACAAAAAUGAUAAGUAUUAGAUUGAUGCAAAAGUAAUAAUUGCCGUUAAAAGUAAUGGCAGAAACCGCAACUACUUUUGCACCAACCUAAUAUAUGCAAUAAUGCAUACAUAAAUUAGCUUAAUAUAGCCAUUCCAUAAUGUAUGCAUAUUUCAAAACAAGUUAUACUUGAUAAAUACUGUAUAUACAUUUUUAUUUGUCAGGUAAGGAAAAUAAAUAAAUUGGGGGAAAAUCCAGUGAUUAGAGAUCUUAAUGACAGCUGCAAAAUCCCUUCACCUUUUCCUUAUAAUGUGAUUGACAUCCCGUUCCCUUCCCAUUAUUUUCCUUAUUAGAAGUAGAUCACAGAUUCUGCCUAUAGUCAAAGGAGGGGCCUAUACAAGAGUGGGAUUCCUUGUCGUAUUAACCAUGUCUUCUAAUUGACUCUUUUCUAAUUGACUCCUAUUUCUGAGACAAAUAGGAUGCAAAGUUGACAGCUAUGACUGAGCAUUGGAAGGGGAUAUUAAGGUAUGAGGAAAAAGAAAAAGGUCAGAAAUAGUCAUAUGAAGAAGGAGGAGAGAGAAUGACUGAUUUUGUGUGUUUCCUAGGCAAUGUUGGGGCCCACUUGAGAUUGGUCAUAAAUUUGAUGUGAACAUAGUUACCAUUAUUUUGUGUUUUCUCUUAGUCACGUUAGGCUUUGUAAGUUUUAUAAAAUGGAGUAGGCGGAGAGUUAAAUGAUAACUUAUGAGAGUACAGAAAAGUGAGGAGUGGGG